AGCAUAUGAGUACACCUCUAAUGCUACAGAUGCCCAUCUGUGCAGUGGGGAAGCCAACCUUGUAGAGCUGAGAAUAAA
rnacentral:snoRNA from 1 species